GGGGGGGGGGGGGGGGGGGGGGGGGGGGGGGGGGUGGGGGGGGGGGGCCGGGGGUGUGUGGGGUGCUCGAGGGGCGAGCGGGUGGGUAACGCGUGAGUAGCGUGCCCUUGACUUUGGGAUAACUUCAGGAAACUGGGGCUAAUACCGGAUAGGAGCUCCUGCUGCAUGGUGGGGGUUGGCAAGUUUCGGCGGUUGGGGAUGGACUCGCGGCUUAUCAGCUUGUUGGUGGGGUAGUGGCUUACCAAGGCUUUGACGGGUAGCCGGCCUGAGAGGGUGACCGGCCACAUUGGGACUGAGAUACGGCCCAGACUCCUACGGGAGGCAGCAGUGGGGAAUAUUGCACAAUGGGCGGAAGCCUGAUGCAGCAACGCCGCGUGCGGGAUGACGGCCUUCGGGUUGUAAACCGCUUUCGCCUGUGACGAAGCGUGAGUGACGGUAAUGGGUAAAGAAGCACCGGCUAACUACGUG
rnacentral:rRNA from 1 species